CCCAGAAGGACUCCGCCCGGGGCCCACGCUGGCCCUUACGUUGAAGGCUUCCUGCAGCAACUCCACAAUGUUGGAGGAGUCCUCUUGCAGCACCCCCAGUGAGGAGACAGGGAAGUGCCCGAGGAGUCCAGGUGGCAUGCCUCGUCAUUGCGGCUCAUGAUGCCGGCCAGCACGUUGACACCGUCUGCCUCAUAGUGGAAAGCUGACUCGGUGGAGAACACCAGCAGUGUCGUGUAUGACUGACGAAGCGGGUCCCAACAUGAGCUCAGCUAAGCCACAGGAUUCACGGCGUGCCCCCAUCAUGGACAAGGCACGUGACAGCACGUGAGCCACGGCGGUGGGCAGCGGAAAGCGGCAAUGAGGAUGCAGGAAGGAUGCAGGCGGGGUCUGUGCACACAGUGGUCACCGCACAAGACCCGAGCUAGCUUCAUCCGACUGGCCCCCCAGGCUUCAUAAUUACUCUGAGGAAAUAUUUUAACUGCAUGGGAAAAUGUACACCUACAAUGUUGAAUGAAAAGGCUGGUCAGGGGAGCCUGGGUGGCUUAGUCGG